rnacentral:tRNA from 1 species
GCACUAAUGGGGUAGUGGUAACCUGGGUCGUUGCCAUUGACCCGUCGGGGGUUCGAUUCCCCCUUAGUGCA